rnacentral:rRNA from 1 species
GAUGAACGCUGGCGGCGUGCCUAAUACAUGCAAGUCGAGCGAACAGACGAGGAGCUUGCUCCUCUGACGUUAGCGGCGGACGGGUGAGUAACACGUGGAUAACCUACCUCUAAGACUGGGAUAACUUCGGGAAACCGGAGCUACUACCGGAUAAUAUAUUGAACCGCAUGGUUCAAUAGUGAAGGACGGUUUUGCUGUCACUUAUAGAUGGAUCCGCCCCGCAUAGCUAGUUGGUAAGGUAACGGCUUAACAAAGCAACGAGGCGUAGCCGACCUGAGAGGGUGAUCGGCCACACUGGAACUGAGACACGGUCCAGACUCCUACGGGAGGCAGCAGUAGGGAAUCUUACGCAAUGGGCGAAAGCCUGACGGAGCAACGCCGCGUGAGUGAUGAAGGUCUUCGGAUCGUAAAACUCUGUUAUUAGGGAAGAACAAAUGUGUAAGUAACUAUGCACGUCUUGACGGUACCUAAUCAGAAAGCCACGGCUAACUACGUG